ACGAAUCCCACUACUAUUUCCUUUUUUUAUUCUUCAAAUCUGAAGUGCCACUUCUAAACUUUAGCAUCGUGACAUUGUUCUCAAGUCCAACUAGCAGAAUCAAUUGCUUCAUCCCUAGGAUAUGAAGCCUCAAAUUUUAUUUCCAUUCCAUUGAUUGGAUUUCGAAAUCCCUAAUUCAAAACCCUACACUAAUCGAUGCAUAGUCGAAUCCCCAGAGAUUCUUUGUGCUCUGUCAAAAUUAGUGGCAUACAUAGCUAUUUUACAGUGUCAUCAUCAUUAUUCUUGGUCCAGAGGUCAAGUGCAGAGACCUCUAGACAUUGGGCCUUUAUUCGGUGGUUUUUGUUUUCAACAAGCAGUCUUCCUCCCUCAGGUAAAAUCUAUCCUUUUUCUCACCUUUAUCAUCUUUGAUUUCACUCGAGUUUGCUCACAUCAUCCACUUUCCAUCAUCUUCCACUGUCCUAAUUUGAAUCAGUAAGCUAUGGCACUAAAUGCCAAAAUAAAUAGAGUUUUGAAUGCUCUCACCUAACAAACCGAACAAGAACUAAAAAUCCUAAUACGAGUAUAAAAAAACCAUUGAGAUUUCAAAAGCCUAGUCUCUCUCUCUCUCUCUCUCGCUCUCGCUCUCUUCCUCUUUCUCUCUGAUUAAUUUUUGUUUCUUUUGUUUUCGAGUUUUCAUUGCUCAAAGCUUGAAGCUCUAGUUUCUACACGACUAAGUUGAAUUCUUGUUUGGUCUGCUGCACACAAGGAGGUCAGUAUACUUCCACUCCUUUUUGACUGUUUUAUUUAAAAUCAUGAACCUAUUGUUGUCUUUUCAUUGACUGCCUUUGUUUUUUAUGUUUGUCAUCAGCUCUUAAUUAUUUGUUCUUGGUUAUAAUGAUUUAUUACUAACUUAUGAUUAACUUUAAUGAAUUUAUGUGUCGCAAGUCAAUUUGAUUAAGUCAUUAUGUGACCUUGAAGACUACUACUCUAAAUCAAACAACCUAUGCAAUUAAGUUUUUUAAUGUGUCUUGAUAGCUUCCCAUGCAUGUUAUGAUUUAAGAUUUUCUCUAAAUGUUCUGUUGUGAUCUUCAUGCCUAUUACACUAAUCAUGUUUAAUGUAGUCUUUUAUUCUAUAUUUGAAGUUGUUAUUUAAUGAUUUUAACUAAGAGGUAUAUGAAUGCUCAGGGUUUAAUCCUUUACUAAUGAGUAAAGUAUGUUAACUUUAAUUGUUUAAGGUGUUUUUCCUUCUUCAGAUAAGUGUUUGAUAAUCCGAAACAACCUUUGAGUCAUUAAUGUGAAAGUCUUGUGUUUAUACUUAACUUUUAAUCACAUAUGUAAGCCUUAUCAUAUGAAACAGCCUCAUUAGAGCAACCAGGACAAGUCUGAUGAACCUCGGUGACUAUUUUUGUAUAAGCUCUUGUAUGCAGCGAAAUCAGAGGGCCUAAUUUCUUGCUAUCGAGUCACUUCAGAAGAACACCUAGACCCCGAGGAUGCGAAGUUGUGACCGGGUUCCCUCCUUCAGAGCUAGUCGAGGCCCGACUUAAAGAUGACGUAGAUCGAGGCUAGAGCAAAAUGGGGAAUUC
rnacentral:lncRNA from 1 species